AUGUACGAUAUGGAUUGUAUGUUUGUUGAUCAGUCUGUUCCAUACUCUGCUCGAAUUAAAGGGUUGCCAUCUUUCCUAAAGCUUGAAUAUAAGCAUGCAUACAGUAGGUUGCAGACGAGGCUAGGAAAAACAUUUGAUGACAUUUACACCAGAAAUGAAUCAAUUUCCACUGGACUUGGCAUUGUCUCACUCCUUUUGCUUCCGUUUCUAGCCUUAGCUUCUAUUGUGCUCUUUGCCGUGAGCCACAAGGAUGGUCAGAACAAGAAGGACAUCAGGGUGACAUACAUCCUAUUAUGUUGUACCACCAUGUUGGAGCUUUUGCUUCCCUGCACAAUUUUCUCUGGGCUACUAGUUCCAUGUAUCUUUAAUUUCCUUAACGAUCCUAUUGAAGGGUGGCACGACAUGGUUUCCCAGCACAACAUCAUGUCCAUAUGUGUUCGCAAGAACAAGCCCACAUUCCUCAUGAAGCUUGUUACCUUCGACUUUCUGAGAGAGCUUCUUAACCAACAUUGGUAUAUUCAUCAAGUACCUAUAGCCUACCAGAUCACGGGGAAAGUUCACCGGCACAUGGAAGAGGGGUGGAAGAAGUACAUAUGCGACACAACAAGUUACAGGAGCUUCAGCGAGCUACGAGGCCAGUUGGCUCUAAGGAUGCACCAUCAGCUAGGAUGGAGCUUGAAGAUGGCUUUUGAUGAGAGCAUCCUCAUCUGGCACGUUGCCACAGAGCUCUGCUUUUAUCACCCCAACACAUCCCCUCGACGUCGACAAGGAGAAGCCACACAAGACAGUAGGAGCAUAUCCAAUUAUAUGUUCUACUUGCUUCUCAUCCGUCCUGAGAUGCUAAUACUUGGCACCAGGCCAGGUCUUUUCAAGUUAGCCAACGACCAGAUUUUAAAAUUUAGCGAGGGACCGCUCAACAUGACAGAAGAAAAUCUUGUGCAGGCGAUCCUUGAAAUGUCGUUGCCGCGAUCAAAUGAUAUGAUUACCAAUGCACGCAAACUCGCCGAAGCACUAAUGGAGCUAGGCAGUGAGGAUGAGAGGUGGAUUGUGAUCCAAGGUGUGUGGGUGGAGAUGCUCUGUUAUUCCGCCAGCAGAUGCAGGGGGUACCUGCAUGCCAAGAGCUUGGGUGAAGGCGGGGAGUUCCUUUCCUACAUCUAUCUCCUUUGGUCGUUCAUGGGAAUGGAGACAUUGGCGGAUAGGAAUCACAGGCCAUUGCCGCCGCUGAGGAAGCCAUUGCUUGAUAAUGGUGCUAAUGCUACCGGUGAAAGAUUUUGUCUUGAUUUCUUACUGCAAUGUGUUGAAUGUUAUUUUGGUGCUCAUGUUCUAGAGCAUAAUAUAAGCAUGUAUGUGUCUGUAUGUUCGUUGCUACAGCGUGCAGUAAGUGUAAGAAUGGAUUUUGUGUGA
rnacentral:rRNA from 1 species